rnacentral:rRNA from 1 species
UACGUAGGGGGCAAGCGGUUGUCCGGAUUCAUUGGGCGUAAAGAGCGUGUAGGCGGCCAGGUAGGUCGGUUGUGAAAACUGGAGGCUCAACCUUCAGAGGUCGACCGAAACCAUCUGGCUAGAGUCCGGGAGAGGAGAGUGGAAUUCAUGGUGUAGCAGUGAAAUGCGUAGAGAUCAUGAGGAAGACCAGUGGCGAAGGCGGGUCUCUGGACAGUUCCUGACACUGAGACACGAAGGCCAGGGGAGCAAACGGG